rnacentral:piRNA from 1 species
UCUCUGGGUUGUCACCGUGGGAUUCAGCA